UUUUUUGUUAUAUAUCUAAAACAACAACAGGUAUGGCUUUAUUAUCUCUAUGAAAGAUUGUUUUAUGAUUGCUAAAAAAUUACAAACCAAGGGUUCAUUAUAAAUGAUUAAAAUUAAAAAUUGAAUUUUUCUUUUAUUUCUAUAAAACGUUUAUUUAACAGCAUUUUAUCUGCAGAACAGUAAUUAAUAUAAUUUAUUAAUGAUGUUUUAAAAUUAAUUAAUUAAACGAUGUAAUUAAUUAAAAUAUGCUUUAACACGUUCGUUUUAUUUUUGACAAAAUUGAAUGUAUCUGUGAUUUGUGAGCUUGAUUUGUCCAACUUUUAUAUAAUUUGUGAUACAAUUAGUGUCACGAAAAAAAAAAGAAAGAAAAAAGAAAAAGAUACAAGACGUUUGUGUAUAAUCACGUGCAUCUUGUUCUCAUGAAGAUCCGUAAAUAAAGUGUUAUUGUCUUAGAAAGUUUAUAUAUAUUUUGUGAAGAUUAUUUUCGGUGAGUAUUUAUACAUCAUUAUUACAACUAAUUAAAUGUGACGAUGAUCAAUCAUGCAUGUGUGUAGUUCCUUUUUACAAGAUACUUUGAUCAACCACGCGCGUGCAUUUAUGUACACAAUUUUAUUGUAUAUCUCUGCGAAAUUUACAACAUUCUAUAGCUGUUUUAUAGCCUCUUUAUCAAAUGUGUUGUCAUUAAAGAUAACGAACAUUAACCAUUCGAUAUACACACGGUAACGUUGGCUGUCAAAAAGAUGAUAGGCUCGCGACUAGUUGACGUUAUUCUAAUUUCAAAAACACACAGAAAUAUUCUAUGUACUAACUCCGAAUUCUGCAUGUGGAAAAUGCCACAUAAUUCAUCUGAUAUGGUUUAGACUCAACUGCACCGAGACUACAAUAAAAAAGGACGAAAUAAGAUCUGGGCCAGUAUCGUGCAACCUAUUGUGAUGACUUUCUUCCAUGAUGAUAAAGACGAGUUCCUUCAUUGGGCGGUUAUUUAAAGAUCUGGAUGCAAUCCUUGUGUGUCGUGAAAUUGCCGUUCGCUUUAGAUACUUAACCGCCGAUGCAAACGAAACAGUCUGUAUCGCAUUAAGUAUUAGAAUUAAAGUACCAUCAGUUUAGUAUAAAGUGUAAUUCUUUGUCUUCGGAAUACAUGUGCACAUAAAGAAGAUAAUAUGCCUCUUUCUUUGUCUUCUUUAAUUAUAAAUGAUACGCUUCAUUUAAGAAAAGAAUAACAAAACAGAAGGAAAAAGAACCAAAUACGUAUACUGAAGUUCUUAUUCUCUUCGUUUGGUUUUAUGAAUAUACAGUAAUGUACAUAUGUAUGUCGAUAAUAUGUUGUCGAUCGAACGUGAACAUGUGAGUAGACUGUUUUUUUCUCGAUUCAGGUAUAUUAAUCCUGCUACGAUCUUCAAAUAUUUAUAUCUCGAUCUCUCGUUUCAAAAAACAAAAGGAUUUUUGAUAUUUUAGGAAAAAUUUGGUGGAAUUGAAAUGAGGAUAACGUUAAUAAAAAUUUUAACAACGAUUCUCUCACUAUUUUCUUAAAUUUGAAAAAUUUUUAAGAAUAAAGGAAACGAUUGGGUUGAAGAUGACCGAAAGACGUAGCAGAGUUAAGUAUAAAAUCGAAGUACGUAUAAAUUAAUUAAUAAAUUGCGCCAUACCAAAUGUAAGUCAGUUUCAAUAUUCAUUUCGUGACUGUUUUUUCUUUUUUAAUUCCAAUACUUCUCUUUUUUUUCACUUUCUUAUAGUUUUACUUUGCAGCGACACGAAACAGCACGCGGUGUAUCUAAAACUCACGUUUUACGUCGGAAGAACUUUAAUCGAGUUGAUUUAACACGCGUGUAUCGAAACGAAUAUUUUAAUCUGUGCCGAAUGCUAAUGUGGAAUAUCGUUACACGUAACGAGUCUCAAAACAAGAAUGUGUCCAUGGGAGAAGACAGGAACAAAUUGCGAUUUCGAAGAAGAUGAACUUCUCUCGUACCGCAGAAUGUAUUGUACGCGAUCUGAAACGCACGCUAAAAAUAUAAUUUCCAUCUCAAUCUAUUUUAAAAACGGG